CUACGGGAUGCUGCAGUGAGGAAUAUUGCACAAUGGGGGGAACCCUGAUGCAGCAACGCCGCGUGGAGGAUGACGCAUUUCGGUGUGUAAACUCCUUUUAUAUGUCAAGAAAAUGACGGUAGCAUAUGAAUAAGCACCGGCUAACUCCGUGCCGAGCAGCCGCGGUAAUACGGAGGGUGCAAGCGUUACUCGGAAUCACUGGGCGUAAAGGACGCGUAGGCGGGUUGGAAAGUCAGGUGUGAAAUCCUACAGCUUAACUGUAGAACUGCACUUGAAACUUCUAAUCUAGAGUAUGGGAGGGGGAGAUGGAAUUAGUGGUGUAGGGGUAAAAUCCGUAGAUAUCACUAGGAAUACCUAAAGCGAAGGCGAUCUCCUGGAACAUUACUGACGCUAAGGCGUGAAAGCGUGGGGAGCAAACAGGAUUAGAUACCCGUGUAGUC
rnacentral:rRNA from 1 species